CCCCACCCUCCCGCUUUCGCAUCUUCCAUCUUGGUUUACCCUAGCAGUCGCUCUAAGCUUUCUCAUCCUACUGAUAGUAUUUUAGGCGAACUCGCUUGCAGCACCCGCUUCUCGGGUCUGGUUCUAGUUCUUCGUUGCUGUGCCAGUGCCAUCUAAACAAUGCCAUGGGCCGACCAGUCCGUCACAUCCACUGCUACAACUUCGAGUAAAGCUAAAGAAAACUCAUAGUUACUGUGUGAUUUCGGCCUCCUAGGUAAAUGGGUUUCUUAUUUUACUCUUCUUUUACUUGAACUUGUUGAAUCGUGGUUGUUGGUAUUAAGUGGGUUCCAUGAAUGUGCAGGAUACUAUACGAUUUCGGCCUGUUAUGUAAAUGGAUUUCUUCUUUUACUCUUCUUUUCUUUUAUGGCAUUUUAUGAUUAUUUUUUCUUGGUUUUGAUUUCGUUCAUUUUUGUAGGAGUAUUUUUCUCCUAUGGGCUGGUCACUCAAGAGGGACAUUGUAUGGUGUGUCUAGGGAGGCGGCUGUUGCGUUUGAGGAGGUGAUACGGGUUAGGGAUAUGGUGGAGAGAUAAAUCCUCUUAGUGAGUUAAUCGUUAAUUUUUGAAGCUGAUAUAUGUAGUUGAAAUUUAGCAUCAUUUGUUUAUAAAGUUCAUGUGACAACGGAUAUGCUCUAGCUGGGAACUGUUAUAGGUG
rnacentral:lncRNA from 1 species